AUGGAGAGAGAGUGCGUAACUUCUGAAACGCGGCGAGCUCCGAUGCAUAAACGCGCGUCACGAACGCGAUCGUGAAAUUCGCGGAAGACACAUCGUACACGCGAACAAAGACUGAUGUUCAACAACGACGGUCUGAAGCCGUGCAUACGACUAAUCGCUAACUAUCGUGCCAGCAUUGGCUCGAGAGAUAGCGUUAGCCUGUUCAAUGCUACGUCGCUGUAUCUUCAGUGACGUAACAAUACUACUGACGAUUGAUUACAUAUUCCUUAUGCGUGCAGCAUAGAUCCGAACGCGGUUAAUUACAAUAACAGAGAACACAUUUGUUCAAGUAAAACAGAUCAAACGAUAAUUUUCUCCAUAAAUGUGAUAAACAUUAGACGUGAGAACGAAUUAAAGCGAGAUGGUCAAUUCGGAGAAAAUGUGUUGUUGGCUAGAAAUGGUGAAAGAAAGAAAGAAAGGGCGACUGUAGGAAAGAAUGACGAGCCUGGCCCGAAGGCAAUAGUUUACAACACAAACGCUUAAAAGGCUUCAGAAAGCUUGUAACCACUGAGAAGAAAUACCACGAGUGAAUGAAGGAUCGUGUUAAAAAAAAUGGGCUUGUGGAAACGUGUUAGGUAAUCUUCUGCCACAUUUGUAAAGCCAAGGCAUACAAAACGCACGAGUUUCAAUAUUCUUUGUCAACUACUCGGCAUUCAAAGGAGGACCAAAGACGAUUGAACGUUUUCAAGUCACAUAAUGAAAGUAUGUCUUUCACAUACACUCAGCUCUGAUACUUCUUCUGAUGAAUAUAUUUGGAUCAUCUUGCUAUCGUUAACAAUAGAACCGAAUGUAUUUGAACGACACAAUCCAGAUCUUACCAUCAAUUGAUACAUUUCGUAAAUGAUAUCACCGAUCAGCGUAAUUAACACUUUACCGACCGACAGCCGAUUCAUCGGUUUUGGUUACCGACGCUUAUCGACUGAUAGCGUGUUAAUCGGCUUUUGUCGUCGACGAUCUUUCUCAUUAUUUGAGCAGUAAUUUGUUAUUUAGUACUAACGUACCUUGCUCAGUUGCGUUGCC